CCCCGUCCUACCCCCCACCCCGGGGAGCCCAAACAGAGGCCCAGAGCACCCCACGCAGCCCGCGACGCUGGGGUUGUGUUCACCUCCGGCGGCUCCAGCUCGCUGCGGUUUCUCGGGCUUCUCCUCUCCCGCCUUCCCGUCCGCCAUUUUCCCCGCCGCGGCCUCCCCUGCAGCCACGCCAAGGACGUCACGGCCCCGCCCAGCCACCAUUGAGUUUCGGAGCCGGCGGGCGAGGCGGCGGCCUAGAGCGGCCCGGGAAAGGCCGAGGAGGCCGUUUGGGAAACGGAAGCGGGUGUGACGUCAUCCCCCGGCGCCUCUGCAGGAAGGGCGGGAAAGGUUGGGCUGCGUGUCUCCGGAGGACGGCUCGGGGCCUGGCGGGACCUUGCUUAGGCUCCCGGGGUCCAGAGAAGUGGGAGCGUGACUCCGGGAGCGGCGGCGAGGUCUUGUUAAGCUUUCGGCGGACCAGGACGAAACUGGGACACUGAAAAGGCAAGAGACGAAACAAACUUGGAAUUCAGGCAGAGAGCUACAACAAAACCAGAGAGGAAAAGUAGCCAAUCAGAGUUUCACUGGAGGGACGUGGGGAAAGUCAAGGAAGAGUAAGAGAGAGGAUCCCAGGCAGGCUCCAUGCCCAGUACAGAGCCUGACGUGGGGCUCAAUCUCCAACCCCAAGACCAUGAACUGAACAGAAACCAAGUGUCGGAUAGUUAACCAACUGAGCCACCCAGGCGCAUUGCCCUGCCCCACCUAGAGUCUUUUGGAAAUGAAUUAAAAGUCUUUGACCUCUUCAAUCUGUUGACAAGCUCUUCUUGAGAAGACGGAGAUAUCUCCAGAUAACCAGCAUGUUUUCUCUUAGGAACAAACCUCAGAGCCUCUUCCCAACUACCAGUGUUUUUCAGGCAUAACAAAAUACGCAUCAUUUGAUCUAAGAAACACAUUCCAUGGCAGUUUUGAGUUCUUCUUCACUGAUGUGUUCUGGUACUUCUCUGCCAAGCAAUCUCCACAUCUCAAUUAACUCCUUCAUGGCAACUACAGGAUCUUCAUCUUUGCUACCUGAGUCAGCUGAAACAUCUUGCACACUAGAUUUCAUCGUAAUUUUCCAACUAUCCAAUUCCAGCUUUUCAGGAGGUGAUGUACUCUCCUUAUUGGGAUAGGACACAGCUGGUAUCUUGGAAGACAAGUAUCGUUGCAGAACUCCUGAACAUAAAACCCUUCUCUUCCUAGGAAUGGUAAAUGGCACCAAAAAUCUGGCCAAAGAUCUUAAGAUGAUACUACCAUUCAUUUUGAGGAAAACAGACAUGUAAGACCCCUAUAAAAGAAGCAAAAUGUAAUGCAAAGUUAGAUAAAGAUGUUUAAAACCUGUCAACUAAUUGUGCAAGUAUAAAUUUGAGACCCCCAAAAAGCAACUGAUUUUUGAAACACAAAGUAAGCUCAACGUUAUUUGCUAUUCCAUUAAUUUUUCCUAGACUCCUGUGGCCUAGAGCCUGUAAUCACUCACCAGGCUAAAAGUUUAACUUAUUUGGGUUAUUUUAGACAUGAAUUUCACUAUUGCUUCAGGGAAAAGAAUACCUUGAAGAUCUUUUUUAGAUUUGUAUUUAGGGGCCCAGGAUAACAGUAUUUCUGGGUAACAAAGUAAUGUACUGCUGAAAGGGGGAGAUCAUGACACUGUAUUCUUCUCCAUUCUAUACUGAGUCCGGAUACAGACCCAAACACAAGAUCCUUAACAUAAGCAACACGUCAAGACAAGAAGACGAAGGGCAGAAAAGCUAAAGAGGAUGGCAUCUACUGAAAAAAACCCUUAGGAGCUGCUUUAUUAAUGCUCUUAUGUUUUCAAAAAAGAAACAGAGGAAGACCUACUUAUUCAAAAACAAAAUAGAAGUGCGUGGGUGCCUCGGUCUAUUAAGCGGCUGCCUUGGGUUCGGAUCAGCAAUUUGGAAAGGGAA